rnacentral:rRNA from 1 species
GACGAACGCUGGCGGCGUGCUUAACACAUGCAAGUCGAACGGAAAGGCCCUGCUUUUGUGGGGUGCUCGAGUGGCGAACGGGUGAGUAACACGUGAGUAACCUGCCCUUGACUUUGGGAUAACUUCAGGAAACUGGGGCUAAUACCGGAUAGGAGCUCCUGCUGCAUGGUGGGGGUUGGAAAGUUUCGGCGGUUGGGGAUGGACUCGCGGCUUAUCAGCUUGUUGGUGGGGUAGUGGCUGACCAAGGCUUUGACGGGUAGCCGGCCUGAGAGGGUGACCGGGCACAUUGGGACUGAGAGACGGCCCAGACUCCUACGGGAGGCAGCAGGGGGGAAUAUGGCACAAUGGGCGGAAGCCUGAGGCAGAAACGCCGGGUGCGGGAUGACGGCCUUCGGGGUGUAAACCGCUUUCGCCUGUGACGAAGCGUGAGUGACGGUAAUGGGUAAAGAAGCACCGGCUAACUACGUG